UACGGAGGGUGCAAACGUUGCUCGGAAUUAUUGGGCGUAAAGCGCACGUAGGCGGCCGAAUAAGUCGGGUGUGAAAGCCCUGGGCUCAACCCAGGAAGUGCACUCGAAACUGCUCGGCUUGAAUAUGGAAGAGGGUCGCGGAAUUCCCGGUGUAGAGGUGAAAUUCGUAGAUAUUCGGAAGAACACCAGUGGCGAAGGCGGCUCACUGGACGUGGUAUUGAGCGCUGAGGUGCGAAAGCGUGGGGAGCAAACAGG
rnacentral:rRNA from 1 species